GGACGAACGCUGGCGGCGUGCUUAACACAUGCAAGUCGAACGGAAAGGCCCCUUCGGGGGUACUCGAGUGGCGAACGGGUGAGUAACACGUGGGUGAUCUGCCCUGCACUCUGGGAUAAGCCUGGGAAACUGGGUCUAAUACCGGAUAGGACCGCGCGCUUCAUGGUGUGUGGUGGAAAGCUUUUGCGGUGUGGGAUGGGCCCGCGGCCUAUCAGCUUGUUGGUGGGGUAAUGGCCUACCAAGGCGACGACGGGUAGCCGGCCUGAGAGGGUGACCGGCCACACUGGGACUGAGAUACGGCCCAGACUCCUACGGGAGGCAGCAGUGGGGAAUAUUGCACAAUGGGCGCAAGCCUGAUGCAGCGACGCCGCGUGGGGGAUGACGGCCUUCGGGUUGUAAACCUCUUUCAGUAUCGGCGAAGCUCCGUGGUUUUCUGCGGGGUGACGGUAGGUACAGAAGAAGCACCGGCCAA
rnacentral:rRNA from 1 species